GUUGGGUAGGGGAGCGUUCUGUAAGCCUGUGAAGGUGGCCUGUGAGGGUUGCUGGAGGUAUCAGAAGUGCGAAUGCUGACAUAAGUAACGAUAAAGCGGGUGAAAAGCCCGCUCGCCGGAAGACCAAGGGUUCCUGUCCAACGUUAAUCGGGGCAGGGUGAGUCGACCCCUAAGGCGAGGCCGAAAGGCGUAGUCGAUGGGAAACGGGUUAAUAUUCCCGUACUUGGUGUUACUGCGAAGGGGGGACGGAGAAGGCUAUGUUGGCCGGGCGACGGUUGUCCCGGUUUAAGCGUGUAGGUGUGUGUUCCAGGUAAAUCCGGUUCACUUUAACACUGAGGCGUGACGACGAGGCACUACGGUGCUGAAGCAACAAAUGCCCUGCUUCCAGGAAAAGCCUCUAAGCAUCAGGUAACAUCAAAUCGUACCCCAAACCGACACAGGUGGUCAGGUAGAGAAUACCAAGGCGCUUGAGAGAACUCGGGUGAAGGAACUAGGCAAAAUGGUGCCGUAACUUCGGGAGAAGGCACGCUGAUAUGUAGGUGAAGCGGUUUACCCGUGGAGCUGAAAUCAGUCGAAGAUACCAGCUGGCUGCAACUGUUUAUUAAAAACACAGCACUGUGCAAACACGAAAGUGGACGUAUACGGUGUGACGCCUGCCCGGUGCCGGAAGGUUAAUUGAUGGGGUCAGCGCAAGCGAAGCUCCUGAUCGAAGCCCCGGUAAACGGCGGCCGUAACUAUAACGGUCCUAAGGUAGCGAAAUUCCUUGUCGGGUAAGUUCCGACCUGCACGAAUGGCGUAAUGAUGGCCAGGCUGUCUCCACCCGAGACUCAGUGAAAUUGAACUCGCUGUGAAGAUGCAGUGUACCCGCGGCAAGACGGAAAGACCCCGUGAACCUUUACUAUAGCUUGACACUGAACAUUGAGCCUUGAUGUGUAGGAUAGGUGGGAGGCUUUGAAGCGUGGACGCCAGUCUGCGUGGAGCCGACCUUGAAAUACCACCCUUUAAUGUUUGAUGUUCUAACGUGGACCCGUAAUCCGGGUUGCGGACAGUGUCUGGUGGGUAGUUUGACUGGGGCGGUCUCCUCCUAAAGAGUAACGGAGGAGCACGAAGGUUGGCUAAUCCUGGUCGGACAUCAGGAGGUUAGUGCAAUGGCAUAAGCCAGCUUGACUGCGAGCGUGACGGCGCGAGCAGGUGCGAAAGCAGGUCAUAGUGAUCCGGUGGUUCUGAAUGGAAGGGCCAUCGCUCAACGGAUAAAAGGUACUCCGGGGAUAACAGGCUGAUACCGCCCAAGAGUUCAUAUCGACGGCGGUGUUUGGCACCUCGAUGUCGGCUCAUCACAUCCUGGGGCUGAAGUAGGUCCCAAGGGUAUGGCUGUUCGCCAUUUAAAGUGGUACGCGAGCUGGGUUUAGAACGUCGUGAGACAGUUCGGUCCCUAUCUGCCGUGGGCGCUGGAGAACUGAGGGGGGCUGCUCCUAGUACGAGAGGACCGGAGUGGACGCAUCACUGGUGUUCGGGUUGUCAUGCCAAUGGCACUGCCCGGUAGCUAAAUGCGGAAGAGAUAAGUGCUGAAAGCAUCUAAGCACGAAACUUGCCCCGAGAUGAGUUCUCCCUGAGACUUUAGGUCUCCUGAAGGAACGUUGAAGACGACGACGUUGAUAGGCCGGGUGUGUAAGCGCAGCGAUGCGUUGAGCUAACCGGUACUAAUGAACCGUGAGGCUUAACCUUACAACGCCGAAG
rnacentral:rRNA from 1 species